rnacentral:rRNA from 1 species
AACGAACGCUGGCGGCAGGCCUAACACAUGCAAGUCGAACGCCCUAGCAAUAGGGAGUGGCAGACGGGUGAGUAACACGUGGGAACGUGCCCUUCGGUUCGGAAUAACUCAGGGAAACUUGAGCUAAUACCGGAUAAGUGCGAGAGCAGAAAGAUUUAUCGCCGAAGGAUCGGCCCGCGUCCGAUUAGCUAGUUGGUGAGGUAAUGGCUCACCAAGGCGACGAUCGGUAGCUGGUCUGAGAGGAUGACCAGCCACACUGGGACUGAGACACGGCCCAGACUCCUACGGGGGGCAGCAGUGGGGAAUAUUGGACAAUGGGCGCAAGCCUGAUCCAGCCAUGCCGCGUGAGUGAUGAAGGCCCUAGGGUUGUAAAGCUCUUUCGCCAGGGAAGAUAAUGACGGUACCUGGAUAAGAAGCCCCGGCUAACUUCGUGCCAGCCGCCGCAGUAA